rnacentral:rRNA from 1 species
UCGAACGGACUCAUAUUGAAACCUAGUGAUUUAUGAGUUAGUGGCGGACGCGUGUAGUAACGCGUGGAUAACCUACCGUAUACCGGGGGAUAACACUUAGAAAUAGGUGCUAAUACCGCAUAAGCGCACGGCUCCGCAUGGGGCAGUGUGAAAGACUCCGGUGGUAUACGAUGGAUCCGCGUCUGAUUAGCUAGUUGGCGGGGUAACGGCCCACCAAAGCGACGAUCGGUAGCCGGCCUGAGAGGGCGGACGGCCACAUUGGGACUGAGACACGGCCCAAACUCCUACGGGAGGCAGCAGUGGGGAAUAUUGCACAAUGGGGGAAACCCUGAUGCAGCGACGCCGCGUGAGUGAAGAAGUAUCUCGGUACGUAAAGCUCUAUCAGCAGGGAAGAUAAUGACGGUACCUGACCAAGAAGCCCCGGCUAACUACGUGCCAGCAGCCGCGGUAAUACGUAGGGGGCAAGCGUUAUCCGGAUUUACUGGGUGUAAAGGGAGCGUAGACGGCAGCACAAGUCUGGAGUGAAAUCCCGGGGCUUAACCCCGGAACUGCUUUGGAAACUGUGCGGCUGGAGUGCAGGAGGGGUAAGCGGAAUUCCUAGUGUAGCGGUGAAAUGCGUAGAUAUUAGGAGGAACACCGAUUGCGAAGGCAGCUUACCAAGCUACUUCUGACGUUGAGGCACGAAAGCGUGGGGAGCAA